rnacentral:rRNA from 1 species
CCUACGGGAGGCAGCAGUGGGGAAUAUUGCACAAUGGUGGAAACCCUGAUGCAGCGACGCCGCGUGAGUGAAGAAGUAUUUCGGUAUGUAAAGCUCUAUCAGCAGGGAAGAAAAUGACGGUACCUGAUUAAGCAUCCCCGGCUAACUACAUGCCAGCCUCCGCGGUAAUACGUAGGGGGCAAGCGUUAUCCGGAUUUACUGGGUGUAAAGGGGGCGUAGACGGCAGCACAAGUCUGGAGUGAAAUGCCGGGGCUUAACCCCGGAACUGCUUUGGAAACUGUGCAGCUAGAGUGCAGGAGAGGUAAGUGGAAUUCCUAGUGUAGCGGUGAAAUGCGUAGAUAUGAGGAGGAACACCAGUGGCGAAGGCGGCUUACUGGACUGGAACUGACGUUGAGGCUCGAAAGCGUGGGGAGCAAACAGGAUUAGAUACCCGAGUAGU